rnacentral:rRNA from 1 species
GAUGAACGCUGGCGGCGUGCCUAAUACAUGCAAGUCGAGCGAACAGAUAAGGAGCUUGCUCCUUUGACGUUAGCGGCGGACGGGUGAGUAACACGUGGGUAACCUACCUAUAAGACUGGGAUAACUUCGGGAAACCGGAGCUAAUACCGGAUAACAUUUGGAACCGCAUGGUUCUAAAGUGAAAGAUGGUUUUGCUAUCACUUAUAGAUGGACCCGCGCCGUAUUAGCUAGUUGGUAAGGUAACGGCUUACCAAGGCAACGAUACGUAGCCGACCUGAGAGGGUGAUCGGCCACACUGGAACUGAGACACGGUCCAGACUCCUACGGGAGGCAGCAGUAGGGAAUCUUCCGCAAUGGGCGAAAGCCUGACGGAGCAACGCCGCGUGAGUGAUGAAGGGUUUCGGCUCGUAAAACUCUGUUAUUAGGGAAGAAAAAACGUGUAAGUAACUGUGCACGUCUUGACGGUACCUAAUCAGAAAGCCACGGCUAACUACGUG